rnacentral:rRNA from 1 species
AUUGAACGCUGGCGGCAGGCCUAACACAUGCAAGUCGAGCGAGCGGCGGACGGGUGAGUAAUGUCUGGGAAACUGCCCGAUGGAGGGGGAUAACUACUGGAAACGGUAGCUAAUACCGCAUACUACCUGAUGUGCCCAGAUGGGAUUAGCUAGUAGGUGGGGUAACGGCGCACCUAGGCGACGAUCCCUAGCUGGUCUGAGAGGAUGACCAGCCACACUGGAACGGAGACACGGGCCAGACUCCUACGGUAGGCAGCAGUGGGGAAUAGGGCACAAUGGGCGCAAGCCUGAUGCAGCCAUGCCGCGUGUGUGAAGAAGGCCUUCGGGUUGUAAAGCACUGUCAGCGGGGAGGCGUUACCCGCAGAAGAAGCACCGGCUAACUCCGUGCCAGCAGCCGCGGUAAUUC